rnacentral:rRNA from 1 species
GACGAACGCUGGCGGCAUGCCUAAUACAUGCAAGUCGAACGCCGAAGCACUCUGCUUGCAGAGUGCGGAUGAGUGGCGAACGGGUGAGUAACACGUGGGAAAUCUACCUAAAAGUGGGGGAUAACAUUCGGAAACGGAUGCUAAUACCGCAUAUCUUCAAGAACCGCAUGGUUCCUGAACGAAAGAUGGCUUCGGCUAUCGCUCUUAGAUGAUCCCGCGGCGUAUUAGUUAGUUGGUGAGGUAAUGGCUCACCAAGACAGUGAUACGUAGCCGGCCUGAAAGGGUGAACGGCCACACUGGGACUGAGACACGGCCCAG